rnacentral:lncRNA from 1 species
GCGAGCGGGAACAGUCUCCUCCACUCGGAGCGGCGCCAUCUUCAGCUCUGAGUCACCAGGGCUGGAAAAAUACUAGAUGCGCUACUCGUGGACUCGUGAAUACACUCGUGAAUACAGGCCAUUUCCUGUACCUACAGCCACGCGCUGGCAUGGGAAGAGGACCAUAGUUUCUGUGGCCUCCCUAAGAUGGCCUGCCACCUCUCCUGAUGCUGGUGACUUCUUGUGAUGGUGGGGCAAUAUUAAGUGUUUGAAAAAGGAAGAAGUUCUUAUUCCCAAAGUUGUAUUCAGUUAUCAAAACAACAAUUAUUUUGUAUAAACUGCAUCAGAGACAACUGAAGAUGAAAGAACUACCAUCUCCACAUAUAACUAAUUUGUGCAGUGCACCAGAAAGAACCUGUUUAAAUUUCCAUGCCAAUUUACAACCCCCAUACUGUGCCAG